UACGUAGGGUCCGAGCGUUGUCCGGAAUUACUGGGCGUAAAGAGCUCGUAGGUGGUUUGUCGCGUUGUUCGUGAAAACUCACAGCUUAACUGUGGGCGUGCGGGCGAUACGGGCAGACUAGAGUACUGCAGGGGAGACUGGAAUUCCUGGUGUAGCGGUGGAAUGCGCAGAUAUCAGGAGGAACACCGGUGGCGAAGGCGGGGUCUCUGGGCAGUAACUGACGC
rnacentral:rRNA from 1 species